AGAGUCUCUGGCUCUUUAGACUACUGGAUGAAUUCUGAGCCGGUACCCCCACCUCAAGAGGAAGGAUGGAUCAAUUUUAGGUGAAUUGAAGCCUAUACUAAACAGCCUCCAAAGGAUAUUCCAAGCAAGUGAGCCCUGAGACUGCAAGCAGCUCUAAGAAGUUCCGCAUUGAUCAGGUCUUCCCUUUUGAGAAUCUGGAUAAGCUCCAACCAAUCUAAAAGGAUGGUUUGCAGACUGUCUGGAGAAAAAGGAAAACAGGGACAACAACUGCCAUAUCUUACAUUCAUCAUGACAUUCAUCAUGAGCAGAUCAUAAUUCUGGACCCUUUGAUCCCCAAAGCCUCCCUUGAGGCCCUGUUGGAGAACUUCACC
rnacentral:lncRNA from 1 species